rnacentral:rRNA from 1 species
GGCGUGCCUAACACAUGCAAGUCGAGCGAGGAGAUUCCCUUCGGGGAUGAACCUAGCGGCGGACGGGUGAGUAACACGUGGGCAACCUGCCUUAUAGAGGGGAAUAGCCUUCCGAAAGGAAGAUUAAUACCGCAUAACAUUACAUUUUCGCAUGAAGAAGUAAUUAAAGGAGUAAUCCGCUAUAAGAUGGGCCCGCGGCGCAUUAGCUAGUUGGUGAGGUAACGGCUCACCAAGGCGACGAUGCGUAGCCGACCUGAGAGGGUGAUCGGCCACAUUGGGACUGAGACACGGCCCAGACUCCUACGGGAGGCAGCAGUGGGGAAUAUUGCACAAUGGGGGAAACCCUGAUGCAGCAACGCCGCGUGAGUGAUGAAGGUCUUCGGAUCGUAAAGCUCUGUCUUCAGGGACGAUAAUGACGGUACCUGAGGAGGAAGCCACGGCUAACUACGUGCCAGCAGCCGCGGUAAUACGUAGGUGGCGAGCGUUGUCCGGAUUUACUGGGCGUAAAGGGAGCGUAGGCGGAUUUUUAAGUGAGAUGUGAAAUACCCGGGCUCAACUUGGGUGCUGCAUUUCAAACUGGAAGUCUAGAGUGCAGGAGAGGAGAGUGGAAUUCCUAGUGUAGCGGUGAAAUGCGUAGAGAUUAGGAAGAACACCAGUGGCGAAGGCGACUCUCUGGACUGUAACUGACGCUGAGGCUCGAAAGCGUGGGGAGCAAACAGGAUUAGAUACCCUGGUAGUCCACGCCGUAAACGAAGAAUACUAGGUGUAGGGGGUGUCCUGACCUCUGUGCCGCCGCAAACGCAUUAAGUUUUCCGCCUGGGGAGUGCGGUUGCAAAAUUAAAAGUCAAAGGGAAUUGAGGGGGGCCCGCACAAGCAGCGGAGCUUGUGUUUAAUUUUGAAGCAACGCGAAGAACCUUACCUAGACUUGACAUCCCAUGAAUUAAUCUUAAUUGAGGAAGUCCCUUCGGGGACAGGAAGACAGGUGGUGCAUGGUUGUCGUCAGCUCAGUGUGCGUGAGAUGUUGGGUUAAGUCCCGCAACGAGCGCAACCCUUAUUGUUAGUUGCUUCCAUUAAGUUGAGCACUCUAGCAAGACUGCCCGGGUUAACUGGGAGGAAGGUGGGGAUGACGUCAAAUCAUCAUGCCCCUUAUGUCUAGGGCUACACACGUGCUCCAAUGGCAAGUACAAAAAGAUGCAAUCCCGCAAGGUGGAGCUAAACUUAAAAACUUGUCUCAGUUCGGAUUGUAGGCUGCAACUCGCCUACAUGAAGCUGGAGUUGCUAGUAAUCGCGAAUCAGAAUGUCGCGGUGAAUACGUUCCCGGGCCUUGUACACCCCGCCCGUCACACCAUGAGAGGUGGCACUACCCAAAGGUUGUGAGCUAACCCGUAAGGGAGGGAGCGACCUAAGGUAGGGUCAGCGAUUG